AGUGAACGCUGGCGGUAGGCCUAACACAUGCAAGUCGAACGGCAGCACAGUAAGAGCUUGCUCUUACGGGUGGCGAGUGGCGGACGGGUGAGGAAUACAUCGGAAUCUACUUUUUCGUGGGGGAUAACGUAGGGAAACUUACGCUAAUACCGCAUACGACCUACGGGUGAAAGCAGGGGAUCUUCGGACCUUGCGCGAUUGAAUGAGCCGAUGUCGGAUUAGCUAGUUGGCGGGGUAAAGGCCCACCAAGGCGACGAUCCGUAGCUGGUCUGAGAGGAUGAUCAGCCACACUGGAACUAGGACACGGUCCAGACUCCUACGGGAGGCAGCAGUGGGGAAUAUUGGACAAUGGGCGGAAGCCUGAUCCAGCCAUACCGCGUGGGUGAAGAAGGCCUUCGGGUUGUAAAGCCCUUUUGUUGGGAAAGAAAAGCAGCAGGUUAAUACCCCGCUGUUCUGACGGUACCCAAAGAAUAAGCACCGGCUACCUUCGU
rnacentral:rRNA from 1 species